rnacentral:rRNA from 1 species
UACGUAGGUGGCAAGCGUUGUCCGGAAUUAUUGGGCGUAAAGCGCGCGCAGGCGGUCUUUUUAAGUCUGAUGUGAAAGCCCACGGCUCAACCGUGGAGGGUCAUUGGAAACUGGGGGGACUUGAGUGCAGAAGAGGAAAGCGGAAUUCCACGUGUAGCGGUGAAAUGCGUAGAGAUGUGGAGGAACACCAGUGGCGAAGGCGGCUUUCUGGUCUGUAACUGACGCUGAGGCGCGAAAGCGUGGGGAGCAAACAGG